rnacentral:lncRNA from 1 species
UGUGGUCAUGUUUUGUCUUUCUAAUAGCAUCAUAAGAUGGUCAUUUGUCAAUGUAUAGCUUGGUUGACUGUGAGAAUUGUUUGCCCAACUAUCAGUUGGGUAUUCUUCUUCAUAUUGGUUGUCAUUCUCAAAUUGCUCAUUCUGUUUUUCAUAGUGUUCAUGAGAGUCUUGUUCUUUUUCAGUGUAUGUGUUAUUAGCUCUGGAAUUUUUCCUGUUGCCACUAUAACCUUUGUUAAAAUAAGGCUUGUUGUCUCUUCUUGUAUAGCUAUUUCCCUGGUUGUAUGGUCUGUUUGGUCAUUUUGAAUUCAGAGAGCUACCACCAUUAAAAUUAUUGCUGAAAGCAUGUUUUUCUGAAUAUCCAUUUAUUUGAUAAUAUUUCUCAACAAUAUGGCAUGAUCUUUUGCAAUGUAUGCAAAAGGUCCUUUCUCUUAUUUCAGGCUUGGGUGGUCUGUAAAGUCCUUGAUUGUUAGCUAACAUGGCUGUGCUAAUUUCUGAGUUUGGUGCUGUGUGACUUCUUUGUUGCUCCUCUUGCUUUAUUAUUGGGUAUAAAUCACGCACCAUGCUUAGGAGUUGGUUUUUGAGUCAUCAAUACUUCUCUUAUGGUCUGAUAUGUUUCAUUUAAACCUAUUAAGAACUUGACUGAUCUCUCGAAUUCAUCUGGAGGAUCAGUGUUUUUCUUGUUUGUAUCAUAAGUGUUCCAUAGCUUUGUGAGCUUAGUGUAAUAAGUACAGACUGAGUCUUAACUUAGUUCAAACAGAAUUCUUAUCAGGGUUAUAAUAAAAACAAAUGAGGUCUGCAUAAUAAAAACAAA